UGGGGAAUAUUGCGCAAUGGGCGGAAGCCUGACGCAGCGACGCCGCGUGAGGGAUGAAGGCCUUCGGGUUGUAAACCUCUUUCAGCAGGGACGAAGCGAGAGUGACGGUACCUGCAGAAGAAGCACCGGCCAACUACGUGCCAGCAGCCGCGGUAAUACGUAGGGUGCAAGCGUUGUCCGGAAUUAUUGGGCGUAAAGAGCUCGUAGGCGGUCUGUCGCGUCGGCUGUGAAAACUCGGGGCUCAACCCCGAGCCUGCAGUCGAUACGGGCAGACUAGAGUGCUGUAGGGGAGACUGGAAUUCCUGGUGUAGCGGUGAAAUGCGCAGAUAUCAGGAGGAACACCGGUGGCGAAGGCGGGUCUCUGGGCAGUAACUGACGCUGAGGA
rnacentral:rRNA from 1 species